GAACCAGUACCGUGAGGGAAAGGCGAAAAGAACCCCGGCGAGGGGAGUGAAAAAGAACCUGAAACCGUGUACGUACAAGCAGUGGGAGCACGCUUAGGCGUGUGACUGCGUACCUUUUGUAUAAUGGGUCAGCGACUUAUAUUCUGUAGCAAGGUUAACCGAAUAGGGGAGCCGAAGGGAAACCGAGUCUUAACUGGGCGUUAAGUUGCAGGGUAUAGACCCGAAACCCGGUGAUCUAGCCAUGGGCAGGUUGAAGGUUGGGUAACACUAACUGGAGGACCGAACCGACUAAUGUUGAAAAAUUAGCGGAUGACUUGUGGCUGGGGGUGAAAGGCCAAUCAAACCGGGAGAUAGCUGGUUCUCCCCGAAAGCUAUUUAGGUAGCGCCUCGUGAAUUCAUCUCCGGGGGUAGAGCACUGUUUCGGCAAGGGGGUCAUCCCGACUUACCAACCCGAUGCAAACUGCGAAUACCGGAGAAUGUUAUCACGGGAGACACACGGCGGGUGCUAACGUCCGUCGUGAAGAGGGAAACAACCCAGACCGCCAGCUAAGGUCCCAAAGUCAUGGUUAAGUGGGAAACGAUGUGGGAAGGCCCAGACAGCCAGGAUGUUGGCUUAGAAGCAGCCAUCAUUUAAAGAAAGCGUAAUAGCUCACUGGUCGAGUCGGCCUGCGCGGAAGAUGUAACGGGGCUAAACCAUGCACCGAAGCUGCGGCAGCGACGCUGAUGCGUUGUUGGGUAGGGGAGCGUUCUGUAAGCCUGCGAAGGUGUGCUGUGAGGCAUGCUGGAGGUAUCAGAAGUGCGAAUGCUGACAUAAGUAACGAUAAAGCGGGUGAAAAGCCCGCUCGCCGGAAGACCAAGGGUUCCUGUCCAACGUUAAUCGGGGCAGGGUGAGUCGACCCCUAAGGCGAGGCCGAAAGGCGUAGUCGAUGGGAAACAGGUUAAUAUUCCUGUACUUGGUGUUACUGCGAAGGGGGGACGGAGAAGGCUAUGUUGGCCGGGCGACGGUUGUCCCGGUUUAAGCGUGUAGGCUGGU
rnacentral:rRNA from 1 species